GGGGAUAUAGCUCAGUUGGUGGAGUGCUUGUGUGUAUAAGGCCCUGGGUUCAACACCCAGCACCCCCA
rnacentral:tRNA from 1 species